AUGCACGCCUGGCACGCCCGCUCCCUGCUCCCUCACUGUCUGUCACAAAUCAGCUGGAAACUGCCCGCUUCCAGCACCGUGCCUCUCGGCUGCACUGAAACUGAGCAUCCACGGGGCCGGGAGAGCGAGGGGAAGAAAGAAAGAAAAAAAGAAAAAAGAAAAAAGAACCCCAAAGUUGCUGUUAUCACAGCCGGCGCUCGUGCCAAGAGCAAACUCCGUGUCUGUACCGGGGACACAGCCGCGGGGAGCUCGGGACCUCCUCCCCGGGUCCGCCCUGCCCCGCUCCGGCCGGUGCCCGGCGAGGCGGCAGCGGGGGCGGCCCCGUCCCGGGCUCCCGGUCCCGGAGCACCGCGGGGGUGCGGGCGGCCCCGAGCCCAACAUGGAGGCGCCGCUCCGGAGGCAGCAGCAGCAGCACCCACCCGCGGCCGGACACGGCUCCGUCCCGCCCGCCCCACUACGGCCGCCCCAGCACGGCAGCACCGAGCCGGGCUGAGCCAAGCCGAGCCGAGCCGGGCCGGGCCGGGCGCCUUUCUCCCCACCGUGCGCCCCACGGAAGCCGGAGCCCGCGUCGCUUCCUCAUUCACCCCGGGCCGGGCGGGGCAGGAGCCGCCGAGCAGGGGGAGCGCCCCCCAUACACACACACACACACACACCCGCGGGGGCAAGUACCGGCACUCACCCGCCUGCCCGGAGCCGAGUACCGGGAGCCGUCCCGGGGAGCGAGCUGAGCGAGAGACGGAGACGGGCGGGCAGCCACCGCCGGCUCCCCGCCGCCACGGCCCGGGCCCGGCGCUCCCCGCCCCGCGCUCCGCCCACGGGCCGCGCACUCACCUGCGGGUCGCCCGCCCCGCCCCACCCCGGAGAAAGGCGACGGUGGUGCUGCCUGGCCCCGUCUCCGUCCCCAGUCCCGUCCCCGGUCCCGGUCCCCUCCUUCCCGUCGCACUGGGGACGCCCCAGCCCUCGCGGUGUCCCUCAGUACAGCGCCCCUUGGCCAAAGGCACUGGUGUCGUGCUCGUGCUGCGGGCGCAGGGUUGGGGCUGA
rnacentral:lncRNA from 1 species